rnacentral:rRNA from 1 species
UACGUAGGGUGCGAGCGUUAAUCGGAAUUACUGGGCGUAAAGCGUGCGUAGGCGGUUCGUUAAGUCAGCUGUGAAAGCCCCGGGCUCAACCUGGGAAUUGCGGUUGAAACUGGCGAACUAGAAUCUGGCAGAGGGGGGUGGAAUUCCACGUGUAGCAGUGAAAUGCGUAGAGAUGUGGAGGAACACGAUGGCGAAGGCAGCCCC